rnacentral:rRNA from 1 species
UACGUAGGGCGCAAGCGUUGUUCGGAAUUACUGGGCGUAAAGAGUGUGUAGGCGGUGUUCCAAGUCUGGUGUGAAAUCUCCCGGCUUAACUGGGAGGGUGCGCCGGAAACUGGAAUGCUCGAGGGUGGGAGAGGUAAGCGGAAUUCCUGGUGUAGCGGUGGAAUGCGCAGAUAUCAGGAGGAACACCAAUAGCGAAGGCAGCUCGCUGGGACGGUACUGACGCUAAGGCGCGAAAGCGUGGGGAGCGAACAGG